rnacentral:rRNA from 1 species
GAUGAACGCUGGCGGCGUGCCUAACACAUGCAAGUCGAGCGAGGGUUUGCUCAGUAUUGAGUAUUCUAAGACUAGAAUGUUCAAUUCUGAGCAAAACCAAGCGGCGGACGGGUGAGUAACGCGUGGGUAACCUGCCCUAUACACAUGGAUAACAUACUGAAAAGUUUACUAAUACAUGAUAAUAUAUAUUUGCGGCAUCGCAGAUAUAUCAAAGUGUUAGCGGUAUAGGAUGGACCCGCGUCUGAUUAGCUAGUUGGUGAGAUAACUGCCCACCAAGGCGACGAUCAGUAGCCGACCUGAGAGGGUGAUCGGCCACAUUGGAACUGAGACACGGUCCAAACUCCUACGGGAGGCAGCAGUGGGGAAUAUUGCACAAUGGGCGAAAGCCUGAUGCAGCAACGCCGCGUGAACGAUGAAGGUCUUCGGAUCGUAAAGUUCUGUUGCAGGGGAAGAUAAUGACGGUACCCUGUGAGGAAGCCCCGGCUAACUACGUGCCAGCAGCCGCGGUAAUACGUAGGGGGCUAGCGUUAUCCGGAUUUACUGGGCGUAAAGGGUGCGUAGGUGGUCCUUCAAGUCGGUGGUUAAAGGCUGCGGCUCAACCGUAGUAAGCCGCCGAAACUGGAGGACUUGAGUGCAGGAGAGGAAAGUGGAAUUCCCAGUGUAGCGGUGAAAUGCGUAGAUAUUGGGAGGAACACCAGUAGCGAAGGCGGCUUUCUGGACUGCAACUGACACUGAGGCACGAAAGCGUGGGUAGCAAACAGG